rnacentral:rRNA from 1 species
CCCAGUAAACGGCGGCCGUAACUAUAACGGUCCUAAGGUAGCGAAAUUCCUUGUCGGGCAAGUUCCGACCUGCACGAAUGGCAUAACGAUGGCCACACUGUCUCCUCCUGAGACUCAGUGAAGUUGAAGUGUUUGUGAUGAUGCAAUCUCCCCGCGGCUAGACGGAAAGACCCCAUGAACCUUUACUGUAGCUUUGCAUUGGACUUUGAACCGAUCUGUGUAGGAUAGGCGGGAGGCUGAGAAGCGGUGACGCUAGUCAUCGUGGAGCCGUCCUUGAAAUACCGCCCUGAUUUGUUUGAGGUUCUAACCUAGGUCAGUGAUCCUGAUCGGGGACCGUGCAUGGUAGGCAGUUUGACUGGGGCGGUCUCCUCCUAAAGGGUAACGGAGGAGUGCGAAGGUACGCUAGGUACGGUCGGAAAUCGUGCUGAUAGUGCAAAGGCAAAAGCGUGCUUGACUGCGAGACCCACAAGUCGAGCAGAUACGAAAGUAGGUCUUAGUGAUCCGGUGGCUCUGUAUGGAAGGGCCAUCGCUCAACGGAUAAAAGGUACUCUGGGGAUAACAGGCUGAUACCGCCCAAGAGUUCAUAUCGACGGCGGUGUUUGGCACCUCGAUGUCGGCUCAUCUCAUCCUGGGGCUGUAGCCGGUCCCAAGGGUAUGGCUGUUCGCCAUUUAAAGAGGUACGUGAGCUGGGUUUAAAACGUCGUGAGACAGUUUUGUCCCUAUCUGCCGUGGGCGCUGGAAGAUUGACGGGGGCUGCUCCUAGUACGAGAGGACCGGAGUGGACUCACCUCUGGUGUACCGGUUGUCACGCCAGUGGCAUCGCCGGGUAGCUAUGUGGGGAAAGGAUAACCGCUGAAAGCAUCUAAGUGGGAAACCUGCCUGAAGAUAAGUCUUCCUGGAGGCUUGACCUCCCUAAAGAGUCGUUCGAGACCAGGACGUUGAUAGGUUGGGUGUGUAAGCGCUGUAAGGCGUUAAGCUAACCAAUACUAAUUGCUCGUGCAGCUUGAUCCU